UACAUCGAAUUGAUAAACGCACGCGAGCACUGGCGACAAUUGACGCAUUAAAGAACACGAGGCGCGAUGUCAACGACCCGUAGAUAAUCAUAUAUAGAUGAGGAUGAUGUCAGGAAGAGAUAGGGACCAUGUGAACAAUAAAGCGAUCAAUUUUUCUACUUUGUCUAACCGACACAUCUUUUUCCUCGCGAUUGAGAAAAAAGUGAUAGUUUAACAAACAUUAUCUAAUUCUCGAAUGGAUAAAAAAACUUAGCAUUGAAAAAAAUUAUGUACUUAUAUUUAGAACUUUCAUAAAUUCGCGAUUUUGAUAAAGUCGCGAAUAGGAAUUAAUAAUUCCUAAAAUUACCGUCCUGAUUAAAUCAACUCGGUCUUCGGUCACAUUCAGCGAUAUAUAUGCAAUUUUACGUAUAAUUGCGUAUGACGAGAUGUCGAAACGGUACUAGUUUUAGGAGCUAAUUAACGUCAUUAGCGCAAUAAACUGUGCACGAUCUCUUUGCGGUGAAGGGCGCUUUAGUACUGCGGGCUUUAAGUUAAGCGAGCUGAAUACCACGCUCCAAUACGCAAUUAAUAGUCACUUAUCACGAAGGAGAAAAAUAACGUUUAUAUAGAAGUAAAAUGCGGAACAAAAUAGAUUACUGACCUAAUCUUGAAUACACUUAAUUGCAACGGUAAUACAUAAUAAUAAUGUAACUUAGAAAUAAAUGUUUUCGCAGGAAAAAUCCCGUGCUAUGAAAAAAAUUUCGUCUCGAAAAUGAAAACGCGUGAUUCCGAAAAUCGGAAAUAGAAAACAGAAAAUGUUGGAUCUGCAGAUAUUCGACGUCUAUCUUCGUAAGUGCAUUAUCAGCGAGAUUGCGCCGAUUACUCCCAAACGAAGGAAAACAAAUGAGAUUGAAGAUUCAAUUCGGGCUCUAAUGGAGCUCGUAUAUGAGGCGAGUUAUGAAUUAUUCGCAGUCGCUUGACCAAGGAACAAUAUUCAUUGACCCGGUCAAGGAUUCCCCCGUCAGUUUUCAAUCCCUCCUUUCGCCCUUACUCGCACUCCUACGCGUUCUAAUUUUCGCGAAAAAAAAAACUUCGAAUAUUUCUGCAACAUGACGUGCAAAUUGGCUGUGGUGUCAGAAAUUUAGGUCACACGGUAUUCGGUUUCGAGAAAUAGCGGCCGAAUUGCGCUACGCGCGGCAGCGCUACCAUCGCUUUUCCGGAUAAAGUGAAACUUCGUUUAUUCGAGCCAUUCUCGGUGCGCUACGCCGGCUCCCCAAUACCUGGGGAACUACUAUAAAGUAGAACGUUCGAUAAUAUCCCUUGGAAAUUGACCGGCAAGGAUGUGAAGAUAGUUAUAGAAGAGAGGAUGUAUUUUCCGAGUGAUCCGAUGAGAACGUCGGCGGACGAAAUAGGGCAAUAAAAUUUCUUGUAGAAAAGCGAAAGAAUAGAGGAGCAGUAAGAGAUGUUAUCCUUCGCAACGUUAUCCUUCGAAAAUGAUAAGACAUAAAAAUAGUAACGUGAUACCUCUGUGACAAAAUACAUUUGUAAUUAAUAUGUUGUUAAAAUGAUUUUGACAGUUAAUAUAACCAAAUAUAGCAUCACGCGCAUUUACAUAAUCCGCUAUGCGGUUUCUUUCCGUAAUACCUAUUCCUGCAUUCAAAGAUGCCCGAGCGCGAUAUCGUCGAGCAUGAUAUUGCACGCAUGACAAAUGGAUCGCGUGUCAGUUACACAAUUGCAGUUCAGGGAGAACAUUUCGUAAAGAUUUAUACCUAAAGUCUUUCACGAGGAAGCAGACUUUGUAGCACCGUUGUAACACUUUUCUGCAGUUGAAAAAGAAUUAACGAAACGAGAACUUCACACAUUAUAUUUUCCGCACUAUUUCUAAUUCCGCGAUGCCGCGACGGUGAUUGAACUUAUUUAUGAAUGAAAAGUAUGAUCGGAAAGAUACGGAAGAACAAGCCUCGGGUAACUUCAAACACCCGUUGGAACAGCUCGUAAAUAC